rnacentral:rRNA from 1 species
AGAGUUUGAUCCUGGCUCAGGAUGAACGCUGGCGGCGUGCUUAACACAUGCAAGUCGAACGGUGAACACGGACCUUGCUCUGUGGGAUCAGUGGCGAACGGGUGAGUAACACGUGAGCAACCUGCCCCUGACUCUGGGAUAAGCGCUGGAAACGGCGUCUAAUACUGGAUAUGUGACGUGACCGCAUGGUCUGCGUCUGGAAAGAAUUUCGGUUGGGGAUGGGCUCGCGGCCUAUCAGCUUGUUGGUGAGGUAAUGGCUCACCAAGGCGUCGACGGGUAGCCGGCCUGAGAGGGUGACCGGCCACACUGGGACUGAGACACGGCCCAGACUCCUACGGGAGGCAGCAGUGGGGAAUAUUGCACAAUGGGCGCAAGCCUGAUGCAGCAACGCCGCGUGAGGGACGACGGCCUUCGGGUUGUAAACCUCUUUUAGCAGGGAAGAAGCGAAAGUGACGGUACCUGCAGAAAAAGC